UGGGGAAUAUUGCGCAAUGGGCGAAAGCCUGACGCAGCAACGCCGCGUGGAGGAUGACACUUUUCGGAGCGUAAACUCCUUUUCUUAGGGAAGAAUUCUGACGGUACCUAAGGAAUAAGCACCGGCUAACUCCGUGCCAGCAGCCGCGGUAAUACGGAGGGUGCAAACGUUACUCGGAAUCACUGGGCGUAAAGGGCGCGUAGGCGGAUUAUCAAGUCUCUUGUGAAAUCUAAUGGCUCAACCAUUAAACUGCUUGGGAAACUGAUAGUCUAGAGUAAGGGAGAGGCAGAUGGAAUUGGUGGUGUAGGGGUAAAAUCCGUAGAUAUCACCAAGAAUACCCAUUGCGAAGGCGAUCUGCUGGAACUUAACUGACGCUAAGGCGCGAAAGCGUGGGGAGCAAACAGG
rnacentral:rRNA from 1 species